GAUGAACGCUAGCGACAGGCUUAACACAUGCAAGUCGAGGGGCAGCGGGGAGGUAGCAAUACUUCCGCCGGCGACCGGCGCACGGGUGAGUAACACGUAUGGAACCUGCCCGUAGCAGGGGGAUAAGCGGAAGAAAUUCCGUCUAAUACCGCGUAAUAACUCCGAGAGGCAUCUCCUGGGGUUUAAAGGGUAACACCGGCUACGGAUGGCCAUGCGGCGCAUUAGCUAGUUGGCGGGGUAACGGCCCACCAAGGCGACGAUGCGUAGGGGUUCUGAGAGGAAGGCCCCCCACACUGGUACUGAGACACGGACCAG
rnacentral:rRNA from 1 species